GGCCUAUGAUGCGUCAAUUUUGUCCGUACCAUCUGAGAUACUCAUUGAUGUGACAAACUUUCGCCUUUUCUGAGGCCU